rfam:Myotis brandtii contig232054, whole genome shotgun sequence.
GGUGGUUCUCGAGUGAUGCACCCUGGAAUCAGGCUCCCUCCUCUCUGGUUCUAGGUGCUUCACCUGAGAACAGCA